rnacentral:rRNA from 1 species
GACGAACGCUGGCGGCGUGCUUAACACAUGCAAGUCGAACGGAAAGGCCCUGCUUCUGUGGGGUGCUCGAGUGGCGAACGGGUGAGUAACACGUGAGUAACCUGCCCUUGACUUUGGGAUAACUUCAGGAAACUGGGGCUAAUACCGGAUAGGAGCUCCUGCUGCAUGGAGGGGGUGGGAAAGUUUCGGCGGUUGGGGAUGGACUAGCGGCUUAUCAGCUUGUUGGUGGGGUAGGGGCUUACCAAGGCUUUGACGGGUAGCCGGCCUGAGAGGGUGACCGGCCACAUUGGGACUGCGAUACGGCCCAGACUCCUACGGGGGGCAGAAGUGGGGAAUAUUGCCCAAUGGGCGGAAGCCUGAUGCAGCAACGCCGCGUGCGUGAUGACGGCCUGCGGGUUGUAAACCGCUUUCGCCUGUGACGAAGCGUGAGUGACGGUAAUGGGUAAAGAAGCACCGGCUAACUACGUG